rnacentral:lncRNA from 1 species
AUGCUAAGCAGCACAGUCUGUUGUUUUGUUGUCCAUGUUGCUAUGCGACCAUCAGCAAGUCAAAGGCUGAAAGAAAAGACAAAUCCCAAAGAGAACGAGACGUGGAGGAAGGCAGGAAAUUGUGAGUUUUUAAGAGCCAAUAUCUGGUGCUUCUGUGUGGACCAAGGGUGCAGUGUUUGUGAAGACAAAAUGUGGGACACAAGGUCUCUCGAGAAGAUGGUGAACAGGACAUCUCUAAGCACACAGAGAGUGCUCCACACACACAUUCUGGAACUAGGAGAACAGUUAUGUCCAAGGUCAUCUCCCAAUGCUAGAACAGAUGACCACCUAAAAUUGGCCACAAACUUGGUCAAUUUACAGCCUGCGACUGGACGGGAGCAGCCUGAUGCCCCAUCCAUGGAGGAAUUUAAGCAGCUGGCAGAGAAGGAGAAACGCGCUGCCCUUAGACUCCAAGAGGAGGUGAAUAUUUGUAAUCCUCAAGUGAACCAUGUCAAAAAAGUAAUUAAUACAGACAUAUUAGACUGUAACACUCUGUCUCCUGGAAUCCAAAAAGCCAUAUUUCAGUCUCCAGGGGAGCAGUCCAGAGAGAUUUUAUUAGGACUUGAUUAAAACUUUCUGAUAAAAAGAGUCUGCUUCUAAUUCGACUUCUUUUUCCCUGUCCAGCAGCAGCAGCAUAAUCCUCAACUUCUCUCCUCCUUGCAUCCGAGUGUCAGAUUUAAUGAAUGAUCCGGUUGCUACUCCAACGCCAGUAGCAGUCAAAGCUUUGCCAUUGUGUCAGA